ACUGUGCAUAGCAUACAGGGCCGUAGCAGAGGUGUCCUUCCCUCCCUGUGGGCAGAGAGCUUUCCUGCUGCCACGUGAAGCUGCCUUUCCACCUCCUGGACCGUGUCUGGCUUCUGCAGGCGGAAUGCUGGGACCCAGUCCAGAAAAGCAGGAAAGCAGCUCGGUGCACGCAGACAGCUUUACUCAUCUCAUGGAACAGCAGAACCGAUUCAGGUUCUUUCAUCCAGUGCACCCGGCCUCUGCAGCCCCCCAGCAGCAGCACCAAAGAGGGAAUGCAUCCUCAGUUCAAUCCCCUGCUCCCUCACACGCUGUCAGAAGCAUGUAACCACAACAACCGGCUUCAUCCUGGCUUUCUAGGGAGAGCAGAGGUGACAACUGCUUAAAGAGAAGGGAGGAGGAGAUAAUACUCGAGAGCUGUGCUGUCUUGUUUCCAGCCUCAAAUGCAUGCUCCGGGUGAAAACAUCUAAACUGUUUUUCAGAUUCGCAUCCCUUUCAGUGGGACCACUGAUGCUCUCAGGCUAACAGCAUUUUUAGUUCUGUACUCUUAAAAAAUGAAAUCCAAGCUGAUUGUAAUGGCUUUAUUUCCACUGAAGAAUAUGGUUUACAGUAUGGAUAUAAAGACUGUCUUCACCUGAAUGACAACUGGAAAGGUUCAUAUGCUUCAGUAAAGCACUGCUGGUUUGUUACAGACAGUAGUAUGCAUAAGAAUAAAUGUACUUUGCUAUUCCAAUUACAUGAUCGGCACUCAUGAAUGGGAGCCUGAGCUUUAUCUCCACUGACCCUGAGAAGCCCCUGGAGAUUUAUGAUGAAAUGAAGCAUAUGUUUUCUGGUGAUUUCUGGAAAAUGAAGAAACAACAACCACUCGUUCUGAUCUUCUCGGGAAACAAAGUGAUAUAUCAUCAGAGCUUCCAUAUUGCCGCAGGGGAAUUUGGAGGGUCCCUACUUUUACUCCCUCAGCACACGCGGAUUUGGCAAUGCUAUGCAGAUGAACAGCAAUUCUGGCUCUUGCUGAUAAAUCAGACCACUUUAAUAGGCUCAGGAAAAUGAUGUGGAAUGUAAAGUGUUCUGCCCUUGUAACCAGCACGGUGGAGCCGCAGGACAUGUUGGAAAUGACACAAUGAACCACUGUGUGCUCUUAUUUGCAGAGUACCUGGACAUAAUGAUGUGGGAAGGAGUGCAGAAGCUUUGCAUUUCCUGGAAACAUUCUCAUCCGAGGGCAGCUGUCAGUUCUUUAGCAAAAGAGGUGGCUGAAGGACAGAGGGAGAAACCUAUGAGGAACAAAAGCAUCCAAGGAGCAGCCAGCAUGAUGGACUACGAUUGUUCUAUCUCACUCUGCGGAGGAAUCACUUUCAGUUUCAUCAGCUGUCUGAUUGUUCUGUAUAGGCUCUGUUUCUGCCAUCUGAAAGAACCCAGAGCACAACAUCACUAGGUAGGAUGUGCUUCAGUGCUCAGCCAGGCCCAGGGGGCCUCUCAGCAGGACGUGCCUGGGACACAGGUAACAAAUGGAUGUUCUCUGUCCUCUGGAGGAAACGUGUCUACACCAGAGGCCACGCUUUCAAGCUGUUGGAGACACACAGCUGUCAAUUUCUCCCUCAACAACCACCACAAACACAAUUAUGGCUGACUGAACUUAGGAUUUUUAAAAUCCCUAUUGUUAGUAAAACUAAAGAUUGAUGUGAAUGGGGGUUGGCAUUACCUUCUACAUGCCAAAGACAAAGGAUUAUCAC
ensembl:lncRNA